AUCGUUCAUCCCUUAACUCGUCUUUAACUCUAUUCUUAGUAGUCAAGGGACGGAAGUAGAGCCUUCGCUCGAAGGAACGCGCC
rnacentral:ncRNA from 20 species